rnacentral:rRNA from 1 species
UAGGGAAUCUUCCGCAAUGGGCGAAAGCCUGACGGAGCAACGCCGCGUGAGUGAUGAAGGUCUUCGGAUCGUAAAACUCUGUUAUUAGGGAAGAACAAAUGUGUAAGUAACUAUGCACGUCUUGACGGUACCUAAUCAGAAAGCCACGGCUAACUACGUGCCAGCAGCCGCGGUAAUACGUAGGUGGCAAGCGUUAUCCGGAAUUAUUGGGCGUAAAGCGCGCGUAGGCGGUUUUUUAAGUCUGAUGUGAAAGCCCACGGCUCAACCGUGGAGGUUCAUUAGAAACUGGAGAACUUGAGUGCAGAAGAGGAAAGUAGAAUUCCAUGUGUAGCGGUGAAAUGCGCAGAGAUAUGGAGGAGCACCAGUGGCGAAGGCGACUGUCUGAUCUGAAUCAGACGAUGAUGUGCAAAAGCGAGGGGAUCAAACAGG